GACGAACGCUGGCGGCGUGCUUAACACAUGCAAGUCGAACGGAAAGGCCCUGCUUUUGUGGGGUGCUCGAGUGGCUAACGGGUGAGUAACACGUGAGUAACCUGCCCUUGACUUUGGGAUAACUUCAGGAAACUGGGGCUAAUACCGGAUAGGAGCUCCUGCUGCAUGGUGGGGGUUGGAAAGGUUCGGCGGUUGGGGAUGGACUCGCGGCUUAUCAGCUUGUUGGUGGGGUAGUGGCUUACCAAGGCUUUGACGGGUAGCCGGCCUGAGAGGGUGACCGGCGACAUUGGGACUGAGAUACGGCCCAGACUCCUACGGGAGGCAGCAGUGGGGAAUAUUGCACAAUGGGCGGAAGCCUGAUGCAGCAACGCCGCGUGCGGGAUGACGGCCUUCGGGUUGUAAACCGCUUUCGCCUGUGACGAAGCGUGAGUGACGGUAAUGGGUAAAGAAGCACCGGCUAACUACGUG
rnacentral:rRNA from 1 species